AUUUGACUCCUCUCUCUGCCACUUAAAUAAGUAAAUCGUUAGCUAUGUGACCUCUCAACAUCUCAAUUUGCUUCUCCGUAAAAUAGAUACAACAAUAUCAAACCAUAAUGUUGUCGUGAGGGCUGAACGAGGGCAUAUGGAUAAAAUACCUGCCUAGUUCCUGGCACACAGCACUCGCUCUAUAAAUGAUGGCUGCUCAGCCCCUUGCCAGGGUCACGCAGGGAGUAGGUGAACAACUGGCAUUUUCCCUUUCCCUGUCUGACUCCAAAGCGCAUGUUCUUUCCACUGUAUUUCACUUUUUGUCCCCAGUGCUCAGCCUGAAAAACAAUGAAGAAGGGACUUCCUUUCACAUGUCUGCUCAUACUCAUUGAUGCAAUACAUUUGAACUGAGUACCUGCUAAGUAAGCACCAGGUAUCAAGCUCAGCUCCAGAAUAAUGUGCUGAGACAACGCGACAUGAAGGUCUGUCGGGGCGACUGAUGCUAACAGCACAGAUGAAUCUAACUGUAAACCGUAAUCAGUGCUGGGCAGAACAGGACCUCGUGCCAUGAAGGCGAGGAGAAGGGGGAUCCAGCCCAGACCAGGCGCAAGGCUCAUCAAGGGGAGGCUCCUGAGGAUGUGACGUCUGAGCUGGGAUCUCGAGAACAAACAGGAGUUAACUAGGGGAAUGAUGAGGUGAGCCCCGUGAGGGCCCCAGCUCACUGCUCACAGAGAGUUUUCCGGCCACAGCAUGGAGGGCUCUGCGCUGGAGCCAGGAGGGCUCCAGAGUAGAGCAGACAGAGCGAGGGUCUGGGGCACAGGUCGGCUGGAGUUGAUGGAGCGGAAUCUUGGAGAAGAGAGAGCUGCGGAGAGACGGAUCCAGAGGCAGGACCAGCUGGUGGAGCACUGUGGGCAAUGGCGCUCAGUGCCCGAGGAAAUGUGAGAGGCAGUGUAGAGCACACCUGAAAGCUACCCUGGGCCGAGAGGGAGGAAUGCAGAGGGCUCAUCCUCUCUCUCCCCAUCCACCAGGGUCUGAGGGCUGCUUUUUAAACACCAACCCUCCAGCUUUUCUGACUUCCCUCCACCCAGAGUAGAAAACAGCCCAAGAGAAAGAGGUAGUGAAUUACACUGAUUCAUUUUCAAAUGUUAAACCAACCCUGCUUCCUAGAAUAAACCCAACUUGUUUCUGCUGGAUUAUCAUUUUUAUAUAUAGCUGAUUUCAGCUUACACUUCAAAGUGUUCUCUAUACCACAAAGUAUCUAUGACUUAAAGUAUUCACUAACACUCGAUCUAAGGCUUUUGCAUCUUUGCCUAUGAGGGUGACCGGCCUGAAAUUUUCUUUCUUUCUAGUGUUCUUGUCAGGUUUUCUUAUUAGUUAUUCUGGACUCCUAAAAUGAGCUAGGAAAUAGGCCCUUCUUUUUUAUUUUCUGGAAAAGUUUAUGUAAGAUUACUAAGAAGAAUCUGCCAGUAAAUCCUUCUGGGACUGGAGAUUUGAGGAAUGUGUUUAAUUACAAAUUCAAGUUCUUUGCUAAAAAUAGUACUAUUCUGGUUUUCUACGUCUUCUAGAAUCUGCUUUUGGCAAGUUGUAUUUUUCAAGUAAUUUUAUCUAAAUUGAAAAAUAUGUGUGGAGUGAAGGUUGGCAAAUGAUCAAAGAUAACUGAAUUUAAU
rnacentral:lncRNA from 1 species